rnacentral:rRNA from 1 species
CUCCCCCAAGAGUCCACAUCGACGCCCAGGUUUCGCACCUCGAUGUCGGCUCAUCGCAUCCUGGGGCUGUAGUCGGUCCCAAGGGUUUGGCUGUUCGCCAAUUAAAGCGGUACGCGAGCUGGGUUCAGAACGUCGUGAGACAGUUCGGUCCCUAUCUGCCGUGGGCGUUUGGAAAAUUGAAGGGGGCUGCUCCUAGUACGAGAGGACCGGAGUGGACGUGCCUCUAGUGUGCCGGUUGUCCUGCCAAGGGCAUUGCCGGGUAGCCACGCACGGAAGAGAUAACCGCUGAAAGCAUCUAAGCGGGAAACUCGCCCUAAGAUGAAUUUUCCCCAUGAGACCCGUCGGAGACUACGACGUUGAUAGGCUAGGUGUGGAAGUGCAGCAAUGCAUGAAGCUUACUAGUACUAAUUGGUCCAUUGGCUUUCUUAU